GUGAAGUAGAGCCCACCAAAUUUGUGUACGCUAAAGCAUAGAUGGGUGAUGUGAUACCAUUGAUACGUUCUACGUUCACAGUCUCAGUACAUGAUCGUCAUGGCUCCGCUCGUAUGGAGUUCUAGAGGGAAUAUUAACCGGUUUUUAACUGAUGUUCAAAUAUUACAAUGCUUUAUUGUGUUAAUCGGUCUGUUUAAUUUAUCUGUGUGUCUCUACGAAGAUCAAAUCGGAAAAUUCGAUUGGAAACAGAAUUAUGUUGGUAAAAUCAAGUUCGCUAGUUUUGACACAGUCUCAACAGCAAAAAAAAUUAUUGUUGCUACUGAGGAAAAUGUUAUUGCUGCGUUAAACCUUAAGUCAGGACAAAUCUUAUGGAGACGUGUAUUAGAAAAGGGAUAUGCAGGUCAUAUUCGUGCAAUGGGAGGAGUUGCAGAUGGAGAUUUAGUAUCUAUAAGCGGAGGAGUACCAGCUAUUGUUCGUGCAUGGGAUUUAGCUACAGGUCACAUCCUUCAUGAAUGGCCCAUGGCAGAACAAAAUCCAGAUAGAAUCAAAGAUGUAAAAUGGCACAUAAAAGAUGGUAUGCUACAUCAUAUUCUACCUACUUAUAAUAGCGAUAUUAAAGUAACAUCAUAUGAUAGUAAAACAGGACACAAACUUCAAACAAGGAGAGUUCAUGCACCAUUUAUAAGUCAAGAAACAGAAUGUGUUCUGGCAGCUCCAUAUCUUGCAUGUUUAAAAGGGGAUAGCUCAUUAGCUGUACUGUUCUUAAUACACUUAUUUGAUGCAAAUGCUGAACCAGAAUCAGUUACAAUAAAUACAAUAUUUGGUGCUGGUGCACAAGGUCCAUAUCAUUUAGAACCAGUUUUAGGUGAAGAACCUGUUGUAUCAAUUAGUGCAGAUGGUAACCAAAGGAAACGAAUACUUGUGGUAAGAGAUGCUGUCAUUCCUAUUCAAAGAGAUAUAGCUGGUGAUGCUAUGCUCUAUACUGUUUCGGUUGACAAUGAGAAAGUGCUUCUGGAAACAACAUAUAAAGCUGGAACAACUGAAAUUACAGCCACAGAACUUUUAACAUCGGCACCCAUGCCGAAUUUAUCCAUGACUCUAACACAUUCCUCAUUGAUAUCACCAAAAGUCAUGUCAUCAGUUUGUCCUCGACAAGCAAAAGGCAUAACGUGUCGUCACUUAUUGUGUUCAGAAGAUCAUAGUGUCUCACUAUUGCAACAUAAUAAAUUAAUAUGGACUAGGGAAGAAGCACUUGCUAGUAUUGUGGCUGUGGACAUUAUAGAGUUGCCUAUGUCUGAUAGAGAACAGGCUAUUGAAACAGAAUUUGAUCAGAAAGAAAGUAUUGAUGUAGACAGUUCAUGGGAUGUGUUAAGUAUGAUGAUCAGAAGAGUCAGCUCACAAUUCAAACAGGCAAAAGCAUUUGUCCAAUCUAUAUUGAGUAUUCCACCACAACCUUCCAAUCAACGUACUGACUUGGUACAAGACAAAUUUGGGUUACAUAAAAUGAUUGUACUUGUUACAUCAACUGGAAAAUUAUACGGCAUCGAAACUAGGAAAGGCGAAAUUAUAUGGCAGCUUAGAGUCCCAAGCAUUCGAGGUUUUGUCAAAAGAUCUGAUGCGAUAGUUUUAUAUGUGCAACGUGGCAGCAGACAUUUUCCUUAUCCUCCACAGUGUACACUAUUAGCAGAAGAUAAAAAGACAGGAGAGGGAAUUCUAUACACAUUUAAUCCAAUUACUGGUCAACCGUUAGAUGGAUUAAUAAAAUUAGGAUAUAAAAUAAAGCAAUCUAUGUUGCUUCAUAUUACAACUGAUGAUUUCUUACGAAUUAUUCUUAUCCUUGAUAAUCGGGAUAAAGCGUAUGUAUAUCCCGAGGAAGCAACAGCAAUGGUAGCAUCGCUUGGUAAAAACAUAUAUAUGUUCACCGCUGAUCAAACAACAGGUGUAUUAUCUGGAUUUUCUCUUUCAUAUAGUACAUCUGAGGAACUUAUCGCUCAUAAGGUAUGGGAGCUAUUACUUUCACCGAGAAACCAAAGAAUAACACACGUUGUAUCGAAAAAUCCAAUAGAACGUGUUCACUCUCAAGGCAGAGUUUUGAGUGAUAGAUCUGUUCUGUACAAAUAUAUUAAUCCUAAUUUGGUUGCCAUAGUAACUGAAGGUGUUGGAUAUACCAAUAAAAAUACGCUUAAUCUAUAUUUAUUGGAUGCAGUGUCCGGAGCAAUGAUAUUUUCUAUUAUACACAAAAGAGUGCGUGGUCCAGCCCACGUUGUACAUUCAGAAAAUUGGAUAGUAUAUAGUUAUUUUAAUGAAAAAAGUCGUAGGACCGAGAUUGCUAGUCUAGAACUUUAUGAAGGAGAACAGCAGAGCAAUACCACAGUGUUCUCGUCUUUAUCUACCACUCAAUUGCCGAUUGUGGAAAGGCAGGCUUUCAUUUUCCCUGCAGCAAUAGAAUCAAUGCGGGAGACUAUCACAGAGAAGGGUAUUACAAGCAAGCAUAUUAUAGUGGCCCUUGCCAAUGGUGGUGUAUUAGAGUUACCAUGGAAGAUGGUGGAUCCACGACGGCCUAUUAAUCCAGAAAUACGCGAAGAAGGUGUAAUACCAUAUAUGCCAGAGAUACCCAUUCAAAUGGACGCAAUAAUUAAUUAUAAUCAAAGCGUGUUUAGGGUGUCGGGUGUUCACACUAGUCCUAGUGGCCUUGAAAGUACUUGCUUAGUUUUUGUACAUGGUCUUGACUUAUUCUAUACGCGCGUGGCACCAUCUAAAACGUUUGAUGUUCUUAAAGAAGAUUUCGAUUAUUACCUAAUUAUGAUAGUGUUAGCAGGGCUCUUAAUUUCAUCAUAUGUUACAAAGAAGUUAGCUUCACAGAAAGCGCAGAAGCAAGCAUGGAAAUGAUGAUUCAUUUUUCUUGAAAAAUUAGUGCAUAACAUUCUUAAGUAUCCGUUUCUUGAAGAACACACACUCUACAGCGAUAACAUAUAUCUGAAUAUUCGAGACAAAGUGUACUAGUCAUUGUAUGAAAAGUGGACCAUGAUCACUAAUUAGAUCACUAAAAUAACUGACAACAUGCUCAAGCUAUAAUUAAUUUUUCGUUCAAAAUACAGUGCUCUCUCGAAAAUUUCUAAUAAUAAUGUUUGUUUUAUUAUAAGUACAAAUGUUAUUAUUACGACUAUAUUUUUCUGGUGGAAAAUAAGAUCAUGUUUGACUUUAUUUAAAAUGACAAAUAAGGGGCUUUUUUGCGUAAUUCCCAUAGAUACCAAGAUAAUAAGUUUAAAAUUUUCGAGAGACAACUGUAUAUACAUAGUUACAGAUUUCUUUAUUAUGCGAACACUGUACAGUGACAAAUUUCAAAUCAUCAAAUAUCAAACUAAAAUGAAAUAUAUUGUGAUUUUUGCAAAAAGAUUUUAUUUUUCGACACAGCAUAAGACAUUAUUUCUUCUUUUAAUUGCUCAUAAAUAUGAUAAGAUAUACCAGUAAAAAUUUUACAUAGUCUAAGAGCUACGUUCGUCGUUAUUAGCAGAUUUUAUGUUAUAUCGAGCAUCUAGAUUUUCUAUUUGUUUGAAACUUUCAGCACUACUCCUGAUAGUCAUCUUAAACGUAUUUGUUCUACGUAUUAAGAGAAUCGAGUUUCUCCGAGUGCAAUGUUAUUAGUAUUAAUUUAAAAUCUCCCACAUUUCUAUAAAUGCUUUGUCAGCUGCUGCUAAAGAAAAGCCAUAUUUUCAAAUAUCCUAUUUAAUUUCUUUCAAAUUAUUAUAUAGAUAAUUUUUAACUUGACUGAUAAAUUCAAAAUAAGCAAAUCUGGAGGCAAAAAUAUAUUGUCAAUUAAUGUAGAUACAUUUAGGCAAUUUACUUCAAUAACACACAACAACACUAAUUUA